UACGGAGGGGGCUAGCGUUGUUCGGAAUUACUGGGCGUAAAGCGCGCGUAGGCGGACCUGCAAGUCGGGGGUGAAAGCCCGAGGCUCAACCUCGGAACUGCCUUCGAUACUGCGGGUCUCGAGUCCGGGAGAGGUGAGUGGAAUUCCUAGUGUAGAGGUGAAAUUCGUAGAUAUUAGGAAGAACACCAGUGGCGAAGGCGGCCUGCUGGGCAGUAGCUGACGCUGAGGCGCGACAGCGUGGGGAGCAAACAGG
rnacentral:rRNA from 1 species